rnacentral:rRNA from 17 species
GGAAGGUGGGGACGACGUCAAGUCAUCAUGGCCUUUAUGUCCAGGGCUGCACACGUGCUACAAUGCGGCGUACAAAGGGAAGCGAAUUCGCGAGAACAAGCAAAUCCCAAAAAGCGUCGCUCAGUUCGGAUUGCAGGCUGCAACUCGCCUGCAUGAAGUUGGAAUCGCUAGUAAUCGCAGGUCAGCUAUACUGCGGUGAAUAUGUUCCUGAGCCUUGUACACACCGCCCGUCAAGCCACGAAAGCGGGGGGCAUCCAAAGUCGCUGAGCUAACCUUCGGGAGGCAGGCGCCUAAGAUGAACUCCGUGAUUGGGACUAAGUCGUAACAAGGUAGCCGUAGGGGAACCUGCGGCUGGAUCACCUCCUU